rnacentral:rRNA from 1 species
AUUGAACGCUGGCGGCAGGCCUAACACAUGCAAGUCGAGCGGCAGCGGGAAAGUAGCUUGCUACUUUUGCCGGCGAGCGGCGGACGGGUGAGUAAUGCCUGGGAAAUUGCCCAGUCGAGGGGGAUAACAGUUGGAAACGACUGCUAAUACCGCAUACGCCCUACGGGGGAAAGCAGGGGACCUUCGGGCCUUGCGCGAUUGGAUAUGCCCAGGUGGGAUUAGCUAGUUGGUGAGGUAAUGGCUCACCAAGGCGACGAUCCCUAGCUGGUCUGAGAGGAUGAUCAGCCAAACUGGAACUGAGACACGGUCCAGACUCCUACGGGAGGCAGCAGUGGGGAAUAUUGGACAAUGGGCGCAAGCCUGAUCCAGCCAUGCCGCGUGUGUGAAGAAGGCCUUCGGGUUGUAAAGCACUUUCAGCGAGGAGGAAGGGGUGUGUGUUAAUAGUACACACCUUUGACGUUACUCGCAGAAGAAGCACCGGCUAACUCCGUGCCAGCCGCCGCAGUAAUAC